rnacentral:rRNA from 1 species
UACGAAGGGGGCUAGCGUUGCUCGGAAUUACUGGGCGUAAAGCGCACGUAGGCGGCUUUCUAAGUCGGGGGUGUAAUCCUGGAGCUCAACUCCAGAACUGCCUUCGAUACUGGAGAGCUUGAGUCCGGGAGAGGUGAGUGGAACUGCGAGUGUAGAGGUGAAAUUCGUAGAUAUUCGCAAGAACACCAGUGGCGAAGGCGGCUCACUGGCCCGGUACUGACGCUGAGGUGCGAAAGCGUGGGGAGCAAACAGG